rfam:Folsomia candida strain VT population Fcan01_Sc001, whole genome shotgun sequence.
GCAAUCUUGUCCGAGUGGUUAAGGAGUUGGACUUGAAAUCCAAUGGGGUUUCCCCGCGUAGGUUCGAAUCCUGCAGAUUGCG